GGAGAGGUGGCAGAGCGGUUGAAUGCACCGGUCUUGAAAACCGGCAGGGGCGCAAGUCCCUCGUGAGUUCAAAUCUCACCCUCUCCGCCA
rnacentral:tRNA from 1 species